UACAGAGGGUGCAAGCGUUGUUCGGAAUUAUUGGGCGUAAAGGGCGCGUAGGCGGUGCGGUAAGUCUGUAGUGAAAUCUCUGGGCUCAACUCAGAGUCUGCUGCAGAAACUGCCGUGCUUGAGUGUGGGAGAGGUGAGUGGAAUUCCCGGUGUAGCGGUGAAAUGCGUAGAUAUCGUAAGGAAGACCAGUGGCGAAGGCGGGUCUCUGGACAGUUCCUGACGCUGAGGCACGAAGGUCAGGGGAGCAAACGGG
rnacentral:rRNA from 1 species